rnacentral:rRNA from 1 species
CUUUUGUGGGGUGCUCGAGUGGCGAACGGGUGAGUAACACGUGAGUAACCUGCCCUUGACUUUGGGAUAACUUCAGGAAACUGGGGCUAAUACCGGAUAGGAGCUCCUGCUGCAUGGUGGGGGUUGGAAAGUUUCGGCGGUUGGGGAUGGACCCGCGGCUUAUCAGCUUGUUGGUGGGGUAGUGGCUUACCAAGGCUUUGACGGGUAGCCGGCCUGAGAGGGUGACCGGCCACAUUGGGACUGAGAUACGGCCCAG